rnacentral:ribozyme from 1 species
GAAGAAAUCAAAGAAAAAGAAGGGAAAGAAAAAUAAGAACUAGGUAUAAAAAAGUUUUAUUUGUGUCCGUGCUCUUCCAAUAGUUGUU